rnacentral:rRNA from 1 species
CGCCGCGUGAGCGAUGAAGGCCUUCGGGUCGUAAAGCUCUGUUGUCAGGGAAGAACAAGUACCGGAGUAACUGCCGGUACCUUGACGGUACCUGACCAGAAAGCCACGGCUAACUACGUGCCAGCAGCCGCGGUAAUACGUAGGUGGCAAGCGUUGUCCGGAAUUAUUGGGCGUAAAGCGCGCGCAGGCGGUUCCUUAAGUCUGAUGUGAAAGCCCCCGGCUCAACCGGGGAGGGUCAUUGGAAACUGGGGAACUUGAGUGCAGAAGAGGAGAGCGGAAUUCCACGUGUAGCGGUGAAAUGCGUAGAGAUGUGGAGGAACACCAGUGGCGAAGGCGGCUCUCUGGUCUGUAACUGACGCUGAGGCGCGAAAGCGUGGGGAGCGAACAGGAUUAGAUACCCUGGUAGUCCACGCCGUAAACGAUGAGUGCUAAGUGUUAGAGGGUUUCCACCCUUUAGUGCUGCAGCAAACGCAUUAAGCACUCCGCCUGGGGAGUACGGCCGCAAGGCUG